GCAAUAUUGUAUCGGCCUCGUAUUUUUCGAACUUAAAUAGAAUAGACAAAAGUGGGGUAGAGACAAUCGGAUACAAUCAAAUUCGGUUAGGUGCACCUACAUAGUGUCAGUACCAUAAGAUAUUGGGCGGUGGAGUGACGACACACGUGUGGGCUAGUGUACCUUUCAUAUAGGGGAAGGUAGUCGGCUGUAACGUCACAGCGGUGCGCUGCGGAACGAGGGACACGCCGGCGCGACUGGUCCGCGCGGUUCUAACUUUCUUUCGGCACCGAAACGUGGCGGCGGCCAGUGCGUGAAAUGGAAACACGACGAACGCCACAUGGGUUCAUCCAACUACAGUUCAUAUAACUGUUUGACGAGUUGGGACAGCUACGAUAGAAUACCCAGAAUGAAUGUAACAUUGAUGGGUUGCCAUAACUUAUAAAUGUCAUGACUGUCAGUAAGAGUAGUGAAGUUUUUAAAGACGAACGAAGACGCAGUAUUGACUACGAAUAUCAAAGUGGUGAUUGUGUACUCGUGUCGACCGUUAAGAAAACCAAACAACGACGCUUUAGACGAGGCUUUGUACAUUUGGUUUUGUCAACAACGUGAACAGGGUCUUCCGUUGUCGGGUGUAACGUUACAAGCUAUCGCGAUAAAAUUUAAUGAAAAAUUCAAAGGAGAUCCUACAUUUACUGCUAGUGUACAAUGGUUGUCACGGUGGAAAAAUUUACAUGGCAUUCGUGAACUUGGUAAAAGUGGUGAAAUUUGAUCAAGUGAUAAUGUUGCAAAUAAAGACUUCAAAAAAAAAUUUUAAAAGUUUGUUAGCGAUCAAAACCUAAGGCCAUGUCAAUUAUUUAAUGCUGACGAAACUGGGUUAAACUACAAAAUGCUCCCCAAAAAAAACAUUAGCCUCAAAAUUUGAUUCUGUAGUCAAAGGACAAAGGGUGAAAAAAGAACGAAUAACUUUACUUCCUUGCAGUAACGCUUCUGGUGAUUUAAAAUUUCCACUUUUGGAGAAUCAGUUAAGCCUAGAGAUUUCAAAAACGUUAAUAUGAGUGCACUUCCAGCUCAAUAAACUUCACAAAAAUCUGCUUGGAUGAGCGGAAACAUUUUUAAAAUUUGUUUUUUUGAGAAAUUUGUGCCAACAAUAAGGGAAUUUUUGAAACAGAAAAAUCUUCCAGAAAAAGCUGUAUUCCUUGUAGACAACGCUCCGUGUCACCCUAGUGAAAAUGAAUUACGAGAUGGUGAAAUUUUCGUGAUAUUUUUGCCACCUAACGUGACGACAUUGAUACAACCAAUGGUUCACGGUGUGGCUAGAGUCCGGUCCCAUCUAAUCCGGAUUAGCGAGACUACAGUGUAAAAUUUUCUCUAUUUAUUUUUUUGACUGUAGAAGACCGAUGUGUACAUUUUUCUUAAAAUUUUUCUCUCUAAUACCCUUAGUCUCUGUUUUCAGCUUUAUUCAAUGCCCACGUUUCAGAACCGCACAGAACAAUAGUUCGUAAUAAUGUCAUAUACAUUUUUGUUUUUAAUUUUUAAGAGAUCCUAGAUUUUAGUACUUUUUCUAAUCUGAAGUGUCCCUUAUUAGCUAGUUGUAUUUUCGACGACACCUCUGUCUUAAGUUCAUUAUCUUGAGUAAUAUCAAUCCUAAAUAUUUAAAUUGUUAUUUAAAUAUCAAUCAGCACACGCAUUAGGUGAUUUCACCUGGAAUGACCCAUAUACAAAAAAUGAAAUAGGAGUUCUCGUUGCUUUUGAAACAAUUUAAUAAUUAUUUUAAAAAUUACAUUGCAUUAAAACGAUUUAGCUUCGAUUUAAAGCUGAGAAGGUAUUAAUUAUACUAUGAUGUGUUUAUUUUUUUGUUUCUGUUACCACUUAUUCUCAGCUCUCACUGGACCGAUUUUGAUGAACAAUAUGUCUAAAGAUCACAAAUCGUAUCUAGUUGAAGAUAUAACUCUCAAAAAUUUAAAAAAGUUUCCUCGUUCCUCAUAAAUAGGGAUUUAAAAUUUUUGAAUAGUAUUGCAUCAAGCCCUAUAAAUUUUUAUA